rnacentral:rRNA from 1 species
GGGUUGUGAGGUUAAGCGACUAAGCGUACACGGUGGAUGCCCUGGCAGUCAGAGGCGAUGAAGGACGUGCUAAUCUGCGAAAAGCGUCGGUAAGGUGAUAUGAACCGUUAUAACCGGCGAUGUCCGAAUGGGGAAACCCAGUGCAAUUCGUUGCACUAUCGUUAACUGAAUACAUAGGUUAACGAGGCGAACCGGGGGAACUGAAACAUCUAAGUACCCCGAGGAAAAGAAAUCAACCGAGAUUCCCCCAGUAGCGGCGAGCGAACGGGGAGCAGCCCAGAGUCUGAAUCAGCUUGUGUGUUAGUGGAACGGUCUGGAAAGUCCGACGGUACAGGGUGAUAGUCCCGUACACCAAAAUGCACAGGCUGUGAACUCGAAGAGUAGGGCGGGACACGUGGUAUCCUGUCUGAAUAUGGGGGGACCAUCCUCCAAGGCUAAAUACUCCUGACUGACCGAUAGUGAACCAGUACCGUGAGGGAAAGGCGAAAAGAACCCCGGCGAGGGGAGUGAAAAAGAACCUGAAACCGUGUACGUACAAGCAGUGGGAGCACCUUCGGGUGUGACUGCGUACCUUUUGUAUAAUGGGUCAGCGACUUAUAUUCUGUAGCAAGGUUAACCGUAUAGGGGAGCCGCAGGGAAACCGAGUCUUAACUGGGCGUUAAGUUGCAGGGUAUAGACCCGAAACCCGGUGAUCUAGCCAUGGGCAGGUUGAAGGUUGGGUAACACUAACUGGAGGACCGAACCGACUAAUGUUGAAAAAUUAGCGGAUGACUUGUGGCUGGGGGUGAAAGGCCAAUCAAACCGGGAGAUAGCUGGUUCUCCCCGAAAGCUAUUUAGGUAGCGCCUCGUGAACUCAUCUUCGGGGGUAGAGCACUGUUUCGGCUAGGGGGUCAUCCCGACUUACCAACCCGAUGCAAACUACGAAUACCGAAGAAUGUUAUCACGGGAGACACACGGCGGGUGCUAACGUCCGUCGUGAAGAGGGAAACAACCCAGACCGCCAGCUAAGGUCCCAAAGUCAUGGUUAAGUGGGAAACGAUGUGGGAAGGCACAGACAGCCAGGAUGUUGGCUUAGAAGCAGCCAUCAUUUAAAGAAAGCGUAAUAGCUCACUGGUCGAGUCGGCCUGCGCGGAAGAUGUAACGGGGCUAAACCAUGCACCGAAGCUGCGGCAGCGACACUAUGUGUUGUUGGGUAGGGGAGCGUUCUGUAAGCCUGCGAAGGUGUGCUGUGAGGCAUGCUGGAGGUAUCAGAAGUGCGAAUGCUGACAUAAGUAACGAUAAAGCGGGUGAAAAGCCCGCUCGCCGGAAGACCAAGGGUUCCUGUCCAACGUUAAUCGGGGCAGGGUGAGUCGACCCCUAAGGCGAGGCCGAAAGGCGUAGUCGAUGGGAAACAGGUUAAUAUUCCUGUACUUGGUGUUACUGCGAAGGGGGGACGGAGAAGGCUAUGUUAGCCGGGCGACGGUUGUCCCGGUUUAAGCAUGUAGGCUGGUUAUCCAGGCAAAUCCGGAUAAUCAAGGCUGAGGUGUGAUGACGAGGCACUACGGUGCUGAAGUAACAAAUGCCCUGCUUCCAGGAAAAGCCUCUAAGCAUCAGGUAACAUCAAAUCGUACCCCAAACCGACACAGGUGGUCAGGUAGAGAAUACCAAGGCGCUUGAGAGAACUCGGGUGAAGGAACUAGGCAAAAUGGUGCCGUAACUUCGGGAGAAGGCACGCUGGUGUGUAGGUGAAGUCCCUGCGGAUGGAGCUGAGACCAGUCGAAGAUACCAGCUGGCUGCAACUGUUUAUUAAAAACACAGCACUGUGCAAACACGAAAGUGGACGUAUACGGUGUGACGCCUGCCCGGUGCCGGAAGGUUAAUUGAUGGGGUUAUCCGUAAGGAGAAGCUCUUGAUCGAAGCCCCGGUAAACGGCGGCCGUAACUAUAACGGUCCUAAGGUAGCGAAAUUCCUUGUCGGGUAAGUUCCGACCUGCACGAAUGGCGUAAUGAUGGCCAGGCUGUCUCCACCCGAGACUCAGUGAAAUUGAACUCGCUGUGAAGAUGCAGUGUACCCGCGGCAAGACGGAAAGACCCCGUGAACCUUUACUAUAGCUUGACACUGAACAUUGAGCCUUGAUGUGUAGGAUAGGUGGGAGGCUUUGAAGCGUGGACGCCAGUCUGCGUGGAGCCAACCUUGAAAUACCACCCUUUAAUGUUUGAUGUUCUAACGUUGGCCCCUGACCGGGGUUGCGGACAGUGUCUGGUGGGUAGUUUGACUGGGGCGGUCUCCUCCCAAAGCGUAACGGAGGAGCACGAAGGUUAGCUAAUCCUGGUCGGACAUCAGGAGGUUAGUGCAAUGGCAUAAGCUAGCUUGACUGCGAGCGUGACGGCGCGAGCAGGUGCGAAAGCAGGUCAUAGUGAUCCGGUGGUUCUGAAUGGAAGGGCCAUCGCUCAACGGAUAAAAGGUACUCCGGGGAUAACAGGCUGAUACCGCCCAAGAGUUCAUAUCGACGGCGGUGUUUGGCACCUCGAUGUCGGCUCAUCACAUCCUGGGGCUGAAGUAGGUCCCAAGGGUAUGGCUGUUCGCCAUUUAAAGUGGUACGCGAGCUGGGUUUAGAACGUCGUGAGACAGUUCGGUCCCUAUCUGCCGUGGGCGCUGGAGAAUUGAGGGGGGCUGCUCCUAGUACGAGAGGACCGGAGUGGACGCAUCACUGGUGUUCGGGUUGUCAUGCCAAUGGCACUGCCCGGUAGCUAAAUGCGGAAGAGAUAAGUGCUGAAAGCAUCUAAGCACGAAACUUGCCCCGAGAUGAGUUCUCCCUGAGACUUUAAGUCUCCUGAAGGAACGUU